CUCUUUACGGGUAAAACCAUCUCUCUCCUCAUUUUCCCCCUUUUCAAACCCUCCAAACUAACAACACCAUUUUCCGACGAAAUCUUGAAUUUUGAAGCACCAUGUCACCGGUAAGCUUUACCUUCGAUGCUUUCUUUCAUUCCGACCGAUUGUCCAUAUUUGACCAUUUGACAAAGCCAUCGCCGUCUCAACAGUUCAGCCAUUAUUAAACAACAAAGACCCACCUCAAGCGUCCAUCAAAUCAUACUUCACACAUGGUAUUACGACUCGGAAGGAAAAUAUGUGGUUUAAUUAGUUAUUUAUUUGUGGUAUUAUGUCAGUUGAAGUGCUAUUGUGAAUUGUUCGUUCUUCAGUAUCUUUUUUUUUUUUCAUUUUAUUCAUGCAUUAGCCUAUCUCUUAAUUUUUCAGGAACAUAAAUGCUUGCAUACGCUGCUGCAAAUUUUGUCCUAUCCAUCUGUGGAACUUUAGUAUUGUUAUCUUAUUUUGAGUAGUUGUUGAGUGGAAUUUGAGGAGAAUUGUUUCCCUUAUUUCAGUUGAAUGGAAUUGGGUAAAUAGCACGAAACAUAUCUAUCUUUCAAUAUUAUUGCGCAAAACGUUCAUACCUUUAAUUUUUUUAGCAUUUUCACCUCUGUUUCCAUAUUUCAUUAUGCAAAAGGUCACUUUCAUCAAUUUUUUAGUAAAAAUACGAUUUUACCCUCAUAUUCAAAUAAAAUAAAUGAAAAUAAAAGAACUAAUGGCAACAAUAAUCCCAAAUUUUCAAAAAAAAAUACAAAUUAAUCACAAAUAUAUAAUUAAAAAUCAAAACUGAAACAACAAAUCAUUCAUCUUCUUUCUCCUCACAUAGUGACUUCAUCGAUGGCUAAAAAAUCCCUUUAGCCCUGGCCAAGACAGACUAUGAUUUUGCCAAUGGCAAAAAAAUCAGUAAGUUAAAAAUAAAGGGAAACCAAAUAUACAAUUCAAGGUAACACAUGGACACAUAAAGAAAUCAAAGAAAAAAGUACUUUUGUCUUGAGUAAUUUCACCAAUAAGACGUUUUUCUAUUUUAAAAAUUCAUAAAUCACACAUAAUAAUUAUUAAAGAAAAACUCAAAUCAAAAGCUAAUAGAUAUGAUGUAUGCAGAAAAUGCAAAACAAAUUACCUUAACAAGUUGGUUAAUGUUAGCUUUGCCAGAAGCAGAAUCUGAGGGCAACUUCUCCACAAUCGCAAGAGACUUUGGAUUUGGCAAAGAAUUAGUAAUAUUUGAAAGCCUCCUUCUCACCAUGUUUCGAAAAGAGGAUUUGUUUCACCAUUUUAUUUCCUUUUCAUAAUCAUCCUUCAAGAUCCCCUUCGAAAAAUAACCUCAAAAUUCAAGAUAUCAAGUGGAAUUUUCAAGAAAUAAACACUAAAUUCAAACCCAAGAAUUAUCCUGAAAUGAAAUUACACCAAAGGGACAUAUGGAUGUUUAAUUCUACAAAAUGGGUUUAUGUAUCUGUUAUUAAUUACAAAAAAAAUAAUAAUUUAUUGGAAAAAUGGAUGAAAAUGAUCUUUUGCACAAUGAAAGGUGGAAAUGAGAAUGAAAUACCAAAAAAAUGAAAGGUAGGGACGUUUUACACAAUAACAUUGAAAGGCAAGGAUGUUUUGUGCUAUUUAUCCAAUGUAAUUUGAGGAGAAUUGUUUCUUGCAUUUUGAGUUGCCGUUGAAUGGAAUUUGAGGAGUAUUGUUUUUUAAUUGUAUUUUAAUUGUUGGCAUUGUGAAUGGAGUGGCUAAUGUUGUCGUGUUUUUCUUUUUUCUUUUUUCCAUAUCAUUUGUUUAUUUUGAAAUGAGUGCUUGAAAGUGGUAUGCUUUGGUUAUUUGCAGCAGAAAGGUUCUUUGAUUUUCAUUUCUUAUGGUAUGCUCAUUCAUAAUUUUCUAUGUGAUUGUGUUCUCAAAAUGGUGGGUAAGAAUUUUGGAAUAUGUCAUCGGUGUAGGAGCAGGGGAUGCUUCUUCGUUGAUGUCUACAGUGUACCAACAGUUUUUAGAAGUUAUUUGUGGUUGAAAAAGAAUUUGUUAACAAAGGCAAAUUUUUCAAAUGUUGCAGUAUUAAGUGCGGAUUUUGGGAAUGGUGCGAAAAAGGCGAAGCAAGUGGUGAAUCAAGUAACGUUAGCAUUACCAAGGUUGAAGAAGUAAUGAAUGAAACAUCUGAUGAUAUGGCCCUGCAUGUUCCAAUCUCAAGUUCAACUGAACGACAAAGAAGAAAUACAUAUUUCUGUAAAUGUGACGAUCUACAAGGGAAAAAGCACAGCGAACGCAAACGCAAAAGGGAAAUGGUCGGCUUGAGCAGUGGUUAAUGUUUGAUUAGCUUUAAGGGGGUUUUGUGUAUGUGUUAAGUGAAGGAACGACUUUCGUUUUGUAUAACAAUUUGCAACUCCAUGCAAG
rnacentral:lncRNA from 1 species